rnacentral:lncRNA from 1 species
CUUUAUACAUAUUAUAAUAAAAUAAUGAAUGAGAAUAAUAGCUUGGUGAUGAUAUUAAUCGAAAUAAUAGCAGUUCAAAAAUGACAUCUUAGUCGAGUGGAAUUCUUGAUCUAGUUAGAUAUGAUAAACAUAUCAGAGUUGCUAUUGAUGGAGUAUUGCAUACAUCUAAACUAUUAUAUAUUAAAACUCGAUAAACAUCUUGAUAACAUUACUGAGUUAGAUUUAUAAAUAUUCAAUUAUUAAUUAAUGAGAUUUAAACUAUUAUUUUCUCAACG